rnacentral:rRNA from 1 species
GAUGAACGCUGGCGGCGUGCCUAAUACAUGCAAGUCGAGCGAACAGAUGAGGAGCUUGCUCCUCUGACGUUAGCGGCGGACGGGUGAGUAACACGUGGAUAACCUACCUAUAAGACUGGGAUAACUACGGGAAACCGGAGCUAAUACCGGAUAAUAUAUUGAACCGCAUGGUUCAAUAGUGAAAGACGGUUUUGCUGUCACUUAUAGAUGGAUCCGCGCCGCAUUAGCUAGUUGGUAAGGUAACGGCUUACCAAGGCAACGAUGCGUAGCCGACCUGAGAGGGUGAUCGGCCACACUGGAACUGAGGCACGGUCCAGACUCCUACGGGAGGCAGCAGUAGGGAAUCUUCCGCAAUGGGCGAAAGCCUGACGGAGCAACGCCGCGUGAGUGAUGAAGGUCUUCGGAUCGUAAAACUCUGUUAUUAGGGAAGAACAAAUGUGUAAGUAACUAUGCACGUCUUGACGGUACCUAAUCAGAAAGCCACGGCUAACUACGUG